rnacentral:rRNA from 1 species
UACGGAGGGGGCGAGCGUUGUUCGGAAUUACUGGGCGUAAAGGGCGCGUAGGCGGCCCAUCAAGUUAGACGUGAAAGCCCCGGGCUCAACCUGGGAAUUGCGUUUAAGACUGGUGAGCUAGAGUACGAGAGAGGAAAGUGGAAUUCCUAGUGUAGAGGUGAAAUUCGUAGAUAUUAGGAAGAACACCGGUGGCGAAGGCGACUUUCUGGCUCGUAACUGACGCUGAGGCGCGAAAGCGUGGGGAGCAAACAGG